rnacentral:rRNA from 1 species
UACGGGGGGAGCAAGCGUUGUUCGGAUUUACUGGGCGUAAAGGGCGCGUAGGCGGCCACUGCAAGUCGGUUGUGAAAUCUCCGGGCUUAACUCGGAAAGGUCAACUGAUACUGUGCGGCUAGAGUGCAGAAGGGGCAACUGGAAUUCUCGGUGUAGCGGUGAAAUGCGUAGAUAUCGAGAGGAACACCUGCGGCGAAGGCGGGUUGCUGGGCUGACACUGACGCUGAACUGCGAAAGCUAGGGGAGCGAACGGG